rnacentral:rRNA from 1 species
UACGUAGGGGGCAAGCGUUGUCCGGAUUUAUUGGGCGGAAAGAGCGUGUAGGCGGCUAUGCAGGUCCGUUGUGAAAACUCGAGGCUCAACCUCGAGACGCCGAUGGAAACCGCAUGGCUAGAGUCCGGAAGAGGAGAGUGGAAUUCCUGGUGUAGCGGUGAAAUGCGCAGAUAUCAGGAAGAACACCCGUGGCUAAGGCGGCUCUCUAGUACGGUACUGACGCUGAGACGCGAAAGCGUGGGGAGCGAACAGG